UAACGACUCUCGGCAACGGAUAUCUCGGCUCUCGCAUCGAUGAAGAACGCAGCAAAAUGCGAUACUUGGUGUGAAUUGCAGAAUCCCGUGAAUCAUCGAGUUUUUGAACGCAAGUUGCGCCCGAAGCCUUCCGGCCGAGGGCACGCCUGCCUGGGUGUCACGC
rnacentral:rRNA from 1 species